CUGUUUUUAAAUUAUGUUUGAUUCUUUUUUUGUUUUGUUGAUGUUCAAACUAAAGCAUCUCGAAUGAUAUCGGGAGGAGUCCCAUAACGAGAUAAUCUAUGAACAACUGAACUGGCUUCUCUAGAACCAUAACUAAAAGAAUAAACAUUCGACUUGUAUAACAACACUCUGCUCUCUCAAGCAACCCCACACUGGCUUUUCC
rnacentral:lncRNA from 1 species